GUCAAGUGACCCUGAAGCUAGUUGUUGCUAUAUCCUUCAGUAUAGGCCCGGUUCUUGAUGUUUCGCUGGAAUAGCGAGCAUCUAGAAGUGUGCUCCCCUUUUUCUAAGAGCAAUAAAUAUUCUGUAGCAUUUCCCAGCUGGAAGAAUUACAUUGCAUUUAGCCAUCUCAGUGUGAUGAGGAUAUAGCAGUGGCAAAAACAGAAAACAAAACACAUACACACACAGCCCAAGUGUUGUAUCAGCAGCACUCCACACCACCUGCAGCCCUGCAGCCAAGUGUACAGUGUACAUAUAACUCUGUGACUACAGCUCUUCCUCCUAAGCCACGAUUGCACAUCUAGAGAGUGCAAAGGUUGCAUUAGCUGACCUUCAAUGUCAGUCCCAGUUUUAAUUUUAGAUUUUUCUGUUCUUGCACCAUUCUUUUUCUUUACAUCUUAUAAUUUUUCUUUUUCCUCGAAGUACAACCCAGGCAAAAAAUGGAAUCAAGGGCCAAAUGCAACAGAAUUUUAUAACAGCAGGGAGUAUCUUUGACAAAAGUGUCACAAACCAGGAGCUCCCCGUCAUGCCUUGCUUCUACUGCUUCUUGGAACCUACCUGUGUCCUGUAGUUACCAUUGUGCCCAAGCGGUUAUCCGGUGUCCUAGAAGCCCAGGAUGGCGCUCUUACCACAGUUCCUAUAC
rnacentral:lncRNA from 1 species